UACGGAGGGAGCUAGCGUUGUUCGGAAUUACUGGGCGUAAAGGGUGUGUAGGCGGUUGUUUAAGUUUGGUGUGAAAUCUCCCGGCUCAACCGGGAGGGUGCGCCGAAUACUGAGUGACUAGAGUGCGGGAGAGGAAAGUGGAAUUCCUGGUGUAGCGGUGAAAUGCGUAGAUAUCGGGAGGAACACCUGUGGCGAAAGCGGCUCACUGGACCAUAACUGGCGCUGAUGCACGAAAGCUGGGGGAGCAAACAGG
rnacentral:rRNA from 1 species